rnacentral:rRNA from 1 species
GAACUUAAGCAUAUCAAUAAGCGGAGGAAAAGAAACUAACAAGGAUUCCCUCAGUAACUGCGAGUGAAGUGGGAAAAGCUCAAAUUUGAAAUCUGGCAGCUCUUUCAGGUUGUCCGAGUUGUAAUCUAGAGAAGUGUUACCUGUGUUGGACCGUGUAAAAGUCUUCUGGAAUGGAGCAUCAUAGAGGGUGAGAAUCCCGUCUUUGACAUGGACUACCAGCAUGCCAAGGUGCACUCUCAAAGAGUCGAGUUGUUUGGGAAUGCAGCUCAAAAUGGGUGGUAAAUGCCAUCUAAAGCUAAAUAUUGGCGAGAGACCGAUAGCGAACAAGUACCGUGAGGGAAAGAUGAAAAGAACUUUGGAAAGAGAGUUAAACAGUACGUGAAAUUGCUGAAAGGGAAACGCUUAAAGUCAGUCGCAUUAGCUGGAAAUCAGGCUUGCUUUUGCAAGGUGCGCUUUCUAGUUGAUGGGUCAGCAUCAAUUUUAAUCGUUGGAUAAAGUCAUUGGGAAUGUGGCAUCUUUGGAUGUGUUAUAGCCCAGUGUUGAAUACAGCGGUCAGGAUUGAGGAAUUCAGCAUGCCUCUAGGGGCCAGGUUUCGACCAUGUUCAUGCUUAGGAUGCUGGCAUAAUGGCUUUAAUCGACCCGUCUUGAAACACGGACCAAGGAGUCUAACAUGCCUGCGAGUGUUUGGGUGAAAAACCCAUACGCACAAUGAAAGUGAAAGUUGAGAUCCUUAGGGAGCGUUGACGCCCGGACCAGACCUUCUGUGACGGAUCCGCGGUAGAGCAUGUAUGUUGGGACCCGAAA